UGCAGCCUUGUCAAAUUCGGUACAUCCUUGUUUAGUGGACUGUUCCGGCCAAAAUGGCUGCCACAAUGAAAUGACAGCUCAUGGGCCCCACAUUGCCACAUGAAUGCUGGGGAUAAAUUGCUGCUGCCAACACUG